rnacentral:rRNA from 1 species
UCACAUCCUGGGGCUGAAGUAGGUCCCAAGGGUAUGGCUGUUCGCCAUUUAAAGUGGUACGCGAGCUGGGUUAGAACGUCGUGAGACAGUUCGGUCCCUAUCUGCCGUGGGCGUUGGAAGAUUGAGAGGGGUUGCUCCUAGUACGAGAGGACCGGAGUGAACGCACCACUGGUGUUCGGGUUGUCAUGCCAAUGGCAUUGCCCGGUAGCUAAGUGCGGAAGAGAUAACCGCUGAA